rnacentral:pre_miRNA from 4 species
UACUGCAUCAGGAACUGAUUGGAUAAUAAUCAGUCACCAUCAGUUCCUAAUGCAUUGCC